GGCCUAGCCUCCCAGCCUACAUCUUUCUCCCAUGCUGGAUGCUUCCUGCCCUCAAACACUGGACUCCAGGUUCUUGUUUUGGGACUUGGACUGGCUCUCCUUGCUCCUCAGCUUACAGAUGCCUAUUGUAGGACCUUGUGAUAAAAGGAGAUGUGUGUAUGAGUUCUGCAGAAGUCCACCAAAUGUGGGCCAGGGUUAUUUCCCUGGUGAUGCUCUGAAGCUUUUGCCAAAGGACAAAUGGAAACAGGAAGUACAAUCAUGCACUGGGGUAAAGAAGAUUCAUCUGCUCUUAGCUACCUACCAUGCCAACACUCCUGAGAAAGCUCACAGAGGCCCAUGAUGCCCACCUGGAUCUGAGGACCUAGAAAGCCACAACAGGCAACCAUAAUCUGGGUCUUCCCUCAGCCAACUCCCCUGCAUAAAGUGAAUGAAUGAAAAACCCAUCUUAUAUUAAUCAGAGUUCUCUAGAGAAAAAGAACCAAUCAGAUGUGUAUAUAUAGAAAGAGAGAAUUAUUUUAGGGAAUUAGCUCACAUCAUUAUGCAGGCUGGUCAAUCAAAAAUCUGUGGAGUGGGCUAGCAGGCUGGAGACCCAGGGAAAGGCUAAAUUGCAGUUUAGAUCAGAAGGUCAUCUACUGGCAGAAUUCCCUCAUCUUCCAGGAAGGUGGAUCUUUUUCUACCAAGGCCUUCAGUUUAUUAGAUUAGGCCCAUGAACAUGCUGGAGGGUAAUCUGCUUUACUCAAUACAUACUGAUUUGAAUGUUAGUAUCAUCAAAAAGACCUUCACAGAAACAUCUAAAAUAAUGUUUGACCAAAUGUCUGCAUACCAUGGCCAAGCCAAGUUUACACAUAAAAUUAAUUAUCACACAUCCCACGAACACCAUCCCCAACAGAUGCUCAUGAGCAUUGUGGUUAUGAUUUCAACUUCAGAAUAAGGCAGAAAUGUGUACAAAUCCUGACCCUUUGACUUAUCAGCUCUCUAAAAAUCAUUAUAUGUCAACUUUCUAGACUUUACCUGAAAAACAGAAACCAAGAUACCCACAGCAUAAGAUUGUUAGGAUUGAAGAAAUUGUUACGAUUGUUAGGUAUGAAGAAAUUUAAACAAUGAUGCAGCUGAGAUAUUUAGAAUUGUACCUGGCAUGUACUUUGUAUUAAAUAACUAAUAAGGCCUUUUUCUGGUGAAAACAAAAUAAGCCUGGAUAAAAGAAGAUGAGACCAGAUUGGUUGAUGGCUCGGCCUGGGUGGGCUCCUGGCCCAUCUGAAAUUACAUUACUCUUAUGUAGUGCCUUUUUUGUUAUUGCUAAAAUAAAAUAAAUAAAACACUCUACUUUCAUACUUUGUAAAAUGCACUUCUCAUUCAGUUCCUCUUCCUGUGCCUUUUCCCUAUUGUCUAUCUGCACACAGCUGUUUUCUUCUGCACAUUUUCAUCACAGAGAAUUACCAGGUGUAGGUCAAAAGAUGCCACAGAGAUAACAAAGGAAAGGAAAAGCUUUUCUGCACUUCUAUCCUUGUAAGCACAAAAAUUAAUCACACUUUCAGUAAACAGGUCAGGUAAGUCAGUCCUGCACUUGAACCUUUUCUCCCCAAAUAAAUAGUUGAAAUGGGAAUGUCGAUUUCUGUAUUUGAACAGAAAUGUAUUAGUGUAGCUUUCAAAAGAAGACUACUCUCUCCAUAUGAAUAUCAUCAGACCCACAAAUACACAUAUGCAUACAUUCACAGUUCAUCCUAACGCUGCAGAAUAUUCUAAGAGUAACACAUUUCUGUACAAAUCAAGCAGCAGCUUUCACUUGCAUGCUAAUCUUCAAAUUAAUUCUGCAAUGAUCCAUUCAUUCCACAUCCCAACCUACAUCCUCAGAAAAACAAAGAUGUAAGUAAGGAACUCAGUAUAACAUGUUUGACUUUAGACACUACUCAAAUAUACUCAAACUUUAUAUGAAUAUGGAUAUUGCUCCUAGAUUAGGCAGUUCAGAAAACAAAUCUUGAUUAUUCUUAGUUACAAUGUAGUAUAAAAUAACAACAAUUUCAUGUCAACAACAGAAUCUCCUAAAAGAUCUUAUAAAGAUAAAAAGUCUUAGGUGUUAGUCGUCAAAGACUAAGUUGUAAAUGUAUCAUUGUAUUUGUGUAGUUAAUAAAACCCUAGACAAGAUAUGGGUUCCAGUUCUUGAACCACCACCACCUGUUCACCUUAAAUAAGUCAACUAAC
rnacentral:lncRNA from 10 species